UGAGCAAUCUGCCCUUCUCAUCGGAAUAAGCGUGGGAAACGACGUCUAAUGCCGAAUACGACCUCCUUUCACAUGAUCGGAGGUGGAAAGCUCCGGCGGAGAAGGAUGAGCUCGCGGCCUAUCAGCUAGUUGGUGUGGGUAACGCCCACCAAGGCGACGACGGGUAGCCGGCCUGAGAGGGUGACCGGCCACACUGGGACUGAGACACGGCCCAGACCUCCGUACGGGAGGCAGCG
rnacentral:rRNA from 1 species